GACGCCAGCACGUUAUUGUAGAAAACAAACAAAAAGGAAGAAAGCUGGAACGCUAACGAUUCGACCUCUGACAUCGCGGCAAAAUUGUUGUUCAAAUGGCCAAGCUGCCUAUUUAAUUAACCCAUUCGAAGUAUCUUAUCAAUUUUACAACAGUUUCAUUACUAUGGACGACGCAAUAACUUUUAGAAUGAGUGCAUUCUCAGAGCGUGGAGGUAGGAGAUACAUGGAGGAUCUGUUCGAGAUUAAAGUGGAGUACGAGCCGAUUCCAACGAUGGAGGAUAAUCUUCCAGAUUCGCCGACACCGGAAAAUGGAGAUUCUGAAGUCGAUUUUACUGAGCGGACUCAAAACAGUGAAACCGACAACGCACAAACCGAUGGCCCCGUGACUGCAAUGUGGACAGAAACCAUAGAUAAAGAAGAGGGCGGUCAAUCCGUGGCCGAAGGCAGAGUGUCACCAUCCUUUCAGGAACAUGGACAGCACACUGUUGACACUCGGAAGUCGGUUGCGUUUUUCGCUAUAUUUGAUGGACAUGGAGGUGGGGAAGCCGCAAAUUUUGCGCAAAAUAAUCUGUGGAAUAUUCUAAAGAGACAACGGAGUUUUUGGUCCAAAGACCAUGAAGAAGUGUGUGCAGCCCUCCGCAAGGGCUUUAUCGCUUGUCAUCAUGCGAUGUGGAAAAAGCUACCUGAGUGGCCGAAGACCAUCACCGGUUUACCCAGUACGUCAGGCACAACAGCGAGCGUCGUCGUGAUCCGGGGCAGGCAAAUGUAUGUGGCCCAUGUAGGGGAUUCAGCGGUGGUGAUCGGAGAGAAAGAAAAUCCUAAAAUGCCCAUGGAGGCAUUGGAAGUCACACAAGACCACAAACCUGAACUCCCCAAAGAAAGAGAGAGGAUAGAGCGACUUGGUGGCAGUGUAGUUAAGAAGUCUGGGGUGAACCGUGUGGUGUGGAAGAGACCCAGACUGACCCACAAUGGGCCAGUAAGGAGAAGCACAGUCAUCGACCAGAUCCCCUUCCUGGCUGUGGCUCGAGCCUUGGGGGAUCUGUGGAGCUACGAUUUCUACAGCGGGGAGUUCGUAGUGUCACCGGAGCCUGACACCGCGGUGUUGACCCUCGACCCUAAGCGCCACCGCUACGUCAUCCUGGGCAGUGACGGCCUGUGGAACAUGGUGCCCCCCAGGGAGGCUGUGCGCAUGUGUCAGAGCCACGACGAGAUGGUGGGUCCUAAAGGGAUGUCCUGCGCCACUCGGCUGGGAUGCACGGCCCUUCUGUUUUGGAAACAGCGCAUGCUGCGUGCCGACAACACCACCGUCAUCGUGCUGGCUCUGCAGGAGCCGGGCGGGGAAGAUCUCCCCAUGCACAACAACGAGAUCAUAGUGGACAUGGACAAGGGGCUGGAUCACGUGCCCUUCCCUGGACCUCCCUACCACACCUGCACUGUGCUGAAGCCGGAGGCCAUGUUUUGUGAAGAGGAUGAUGUUAUUGAAGAGGAGGAUUGGACUUGCAUGGAGUGGUAGUGAGGUGACUGCCCAGUCCGUGACUGAUCCUAUAUCGAACACACCCGUAUGAUUGACAUCUGUACACCAAAUCGACAGAAACCGUUGAAAAUUUUAAGGAGUCCCCGGAUGUGAAAGUGUCCUCCUCCUACAGUGUGUCGGUGGGGGUGGUGGAGUGGAGCGGCAGCCAUUUUGGCUCUUUCCUCUGCCCCCAAUCGGAGGCUCAGCCGGAGACAGUCUCACAGGAAGCUGCUCCGGCGCCACCAGGCGGAGCCUUGAACAGCCGCGACAACGCCAGGACACAGGCUCCUGGUGGCGCUCCCCCCUCCUCCAACCGGCCUCGCCGUGGCCUCCCUCGCUCCCCGUUCAACCCCUCCACCCCCUGGACACUUGGGCGGAGCUGCAGACCGCCCCCACGCAGGCGUCCGGCCCCCAGGCCUCCUCGCCAGCGGCUCCCUGGGAGGAGGAGACGGAAGGGGCAGAAGCUUCUCCCCAGCGCCCCCGAGGUCCAGCCACAGCACCGCAAGGCAGCCUUCUGGGUCUGCUGAAGAGGGCUCCUCAGAGUGGCUCAGCCCCAGGUCAUCACUGCAUGGAAGAACGCUUUUUGGGCAGUGUAUACGUUGUGAUCGGGUGUCAAAUGUGCCACAGUUACGUUUUUCACAGUAUAUUGAGUGUUUGUGUUUCCUAGUCGAGCCAGGGGGGAUGAUCUUGUGAUUUUUGUGAAGAUUAUGAGAACGGUGUGUUUUAAUAUGCUUUAAUUUAUCCCCUUAUUUUAGUGUUUAGUUUUUUUUUAUGAACCCAAGGCUCUUAACUGCUAUUGUGGAUGUUUGACGUGGUGUUUGUCAUAUUGAUGUAGUUCUCUUUCAAAAUCUUUUUGUCCUCUUUGUGAAUGGAAAAAAGAUUAUUUAUUGAAAUGCACAAUAUAUUUUUGCAUAUGAAAUGUACACUGUAUAUUCCAAAGACAAUGUAUGCAUUUUU